AUGGGACCUGAUUACAAUUACUUCGAGAGGGGUAAUCUCGACAUUUUCAGUGGAAGAGCACCGUGUUUACCUAGUCCGAUCUGUGCCUUAAACCUAACCUCUGAUGGCUCCGGUGAUCACCAUGGUUGGUACGCUAAUUACGUUGAGGUCACGACGGCUGGUGUUCACGCACAGUGCUCGACGCAGGAUUUUGAGAUUGAGCAAUGGCUCGCUACUGAUACUUCUCCUUAUGAGCUCACCGCCGUUCGUAAC
rnacentral:lncRNA from 1 species